UGGAGCCCAGGGCAGGGUUCACAGAGCUAUUUUCAGUUCUCUUGCAGGAUCUCCUUCCCAGCCUUCAGAAAUUGCCGGUCUGGGAGUUGGGGGCAAGGAGAAGAUCCUGCAACCCAGUGAUUCCAUGGAAAGCAGAAAGAAGGACAUAAAGAAACGGAUACUUGGUGACAUCUUUGACUCACUGGAUCAAACCUUGCCUGAAGCUCACAUUUCUGAAAUUUCCAGAUACAAGAACAAAUACUUCCUCUUUAUUGUUUUACUAGAUUUGAGACAAGCUUUAAGUUUCUCAGACUCUUCCUCUUCCUAACAGAUUUAUCAGAAGCUGAAAGCUCUGAUCUUGUUGGGAUGCGGAUCGUGUCAGGAGAAGGCUUACUUUGCACGCUUUUCUUAGUCUGGUUGCCUAACUCAAGAACCUCGGCAUGGCUCUGUUACUUCUCUACUCAGACAAGCAUCCCUGCAGACACUCACUAGGCUAACUCUGUCUUUAUUUUUAGAAUUAGACCUUUACGAGAAGCACAGUUUUGUCUUCAGUUUCCUCUCCCCCCACCCGGAAUGGCCUGAGCCGAAGCCAGCUCCCUCCGAGAAGUCAUUACCGCCUGACUUGCGUUUGAUAUUUAGACACCUUGGUCACAACAUCUUGCAUUCUCUCGGGAUGCUGAUUUCUAACUGCUCUUUGGCCUUUCCUGCAUUGGUCCUCCUCAGGCAGGGGAUCCCUGCUCUUCUAUAUUAGUGAGAAAACCAAGGCUCAGAGAAACUGUGGAUUUUCUAAGGAUGCUGGCUCCCCGUCCCCUGUCCACCAUGAGUCAAAGCAAUGUGAGUCCCUCACCAGAUGCAACUGCCCAGUCUUGGACUUUCCAGUGACCAGAAUCAUGAGCCAAAUAAACCUCUUUUCUUUAUGAA
rnacentral:lncRNA from 1 species